ensembl:lncRNA
UAGUCUGUUCACUUUAGAAAUACUUGGAUCACCCACUCAGUAGGUAAAAGGCAACAUAUUAAGCUCCAUGUUAAAUAAAAAGCUAAAUAAAGGUAAACAGUUUCUUCUAAUAGUGAAUGAUAGUGGAUCCAAAUCAUAUUUUAUGUAAUGCCUGUCCCUGCCCCUUCCCUUAGGAGAUGGAAGUAGACAUAGGGGCUGGAGAGGCAGGUUGUCAUAGUUUUAAUUUCCCUUUGUAGCCAUUUAUUGGAAACAAAUAUGUAGAACCAGCUGUGCUUGUGCAACCUGACCUAUGCAGUCAGAAUUAAGAGCAGACUAGUCAAGUCUGUAACAUUCUCUUCUCUUUCUCUUGCCACUUUGGGCAUAAGAACCUUGACUUCAACAGUCGUUUGUGUUCACCUAACUCAAAUAUCUAUCUGCAACAGCAUUCAAAGGGGCUAUGAAGUGGCGAUAUUUAUAAAAGGAGUUGAAAGGCUGAGUUGGCUAGAAUAGACGGUACACAAGAAUGUAUGUGUAUAUUUUGAAUUUUUGAAAUUCACUUAAUUUUUCUCCCCUUGGAAUUGGUAAACUCUUUAGUAAGAUAUAAUUUAGAGAACUUUUUCCUUAUACAUGCUGAAUUUGUCCAGCUGUAUUAGUUAGGCUGCUCAAAGUGAAACCAUGGGUAAUCAAUAGUCAAAUCCAUUUUACCUGCCUUCACUAAUUAAUUAGUUUUAAGUGUUGCUAAAAAAAGACUUUCAUGUCCUCCAGGUCUGCAGAGAGCCUAAACACAAAGACGGUGGCCUGGAGUUGUUUGCCAGGAAUUGGAGUCAGCUGUGUCUAGUUUGAGCUGAGCUGGUUACGAUCGGAUAGCAGCACGGACCCUGUAACUGGGCAUGCGCCGGUGUCUGAUCUGAUGUCUGACAUCGAAAGUGACCUUUUGAUGUUGGCGGGCUGAGAACUCCAUCCUCAGGUGAGGUUACGGAGCAGACCAGAGCAGAGGCUGCAGCCUAUUACAGGAGCGCAGACCAUGAUUACUGGCCUUUCUGGUCACCUUUGCCCACGCCCUGGGGUGCUCCCCAUGCCCUCCGCACAGCAGAUGGCCCUGCCCCUCUAUUCGUUACCGGUAAAUACCCUGGCGUCUUGUCUUUUAACUUUCUGGUGGGAAACUAUGUGGAAACUUGAUGGAGUUAAAUUCGUUCUCAUUUAUAUAUUUUAUCACUUUCAGCAGCGAGAAGGGGAGAGACCCAAGUUAUGAGGCUAUUAUAAUAAUUUAGGCACCAUGCUAGACACAGAGGAUGUUAAGAUGAAAAUCAGACCCUUCCCUCGAGGAGUUCAUAGACCAGUCAGGAAGAUAACAAAGCUUAUGAUAAAGGCGGUGGCCGAGUAAUACAUUGCCCCGAAACUGAUAAGCCAGGAGGCUAAAGAAGUAUGGAGGCAGUCCGUCAGGAAUCUUGCAAAGAAGGCAGCUCUCAGUAGACAGUACUGGAGAUUUUUAUGAACCAUUUUUAGUUCUGUGAAUUGAAGAGACCUCGCCCCUUUUCUACCUCUUUCUGCUGACAGCUGCUCCUGAACACCUCCCUCCCAGCCGGGAGGGCAGCCGGAUGGCUGCCUGUGCAGCUAACGCCAGGAUGGCUCCUGAGCGAGCAUCCAGGGUAUCAGUUUCCUCCUGGAGACUCACGUGUCACCUUCACGUCUCGUGUAUCUUCCAUCAUUUACGUGAAUAUAUCAAGGGCUCUGGUAGAGGCACCAGGCUAUGAAAGCGCAGUCUAACCGGUGGCUGGGAACAAAGGCCGCCUUCAGCUACAAAUGAUUCACUAUGGUGUUGAGACUUUUUUCCCUCCACGAUGACUUUGAAUCCUAAAGAUUAAAUGAGUGUGCUUCCAUUCGCAGAAAAUAAAAGUGAAGGGAUAGCCUAGGAAAAGAAUUACUCUAAAAAAAAUACUGAUUUUAAGAACCAAUUUAGAAAAUUACAAAGGUUUCACAAGGAUGUAGGGUGUACUUGUAAUGGCAGGAGGAAGAUUUAUACCCAACUCUUCUCACAGAUGCUACUGUAACUUAUCAUCCUCAGAUUACUUAGUUUCCAUCAGAAGAUAUCACUAUCUGAUCAGUCUCAUCAUUUCAUAUUGGGUGGCAGUAUGGACAAAGUUAGAGUGAAUUAUUUGAAAGGUCAUGUGACUAUAUCUAACAGAUAUUUAAAAAUAUUUUGUGUGGUUCAUUAGCCAGUUUAAUACAGUGGGUUAACAAAGAAGUUCUAUAGUUCAUCUCUGGAAAAUUGAAACAUGGCUCUUACUUUUCAACCAUUAUUAAAUUAAAAAUAUCAAAAUAUUUUUAAGAAGAUGCAUGUUUCCAGCACAUUCUAUGUCCUUGGGAAGCAAAUAAUAAUGAACAGGAUUAGGAAAUAAUUUCAGAGAAGACAAUGGAACCCCACUCCAGUACUCUUGUCUGGAAAAUCCCAUGGAUGGAGGAGCCUGGUGGGCUGCAGUCCAUGGGGUCACUACGAGUCAGACACGACUGAGCGACUUCACUUUCACUUUUCACUUUGAUGCAUUGGAGGAGGAAAUGGCAACCCACUUCAGUGUUCUUGCCUGGAGAAUCCCAGGGACUGGGGAGCCUACGCUGCCGUCUAUGGGGUCACACAGAGUUGGACACGACUGAAGUGACUUAGCAGCAGGAAAUAAUUUAUACUGAAGUAUAUAACCCUGAGAUGGCGGUGGAUCAGCCCCACCUCUUUUGACCUUGGCCCCUUUAGAGGACAGCCUGGUUUCAACCAAAGUAACCUUGAACUUGGGGAGAGGCUGCAGCCCAGAGACACAGAAUAGGUGUCGUUGGUGCUAAUUCACUGUGCUUAUGCACUGGCGAGCUACAGUCCAUGGGGUCACAAAGAGUCAGACAUGACUGAGCAACUAACACUUUCACUUUAUGCACAGUUUAUUAAGGAAACUUUCAGAUUAUGGAAAUAUUUGACAGUUUCUUCUAGAUAUUCUGUGGCUUCCGUGGUGGCUCAGACGGUAAAGCGUCUGCCUGCAAUGCGGGAGACCUGGUUCGAUUCCUGGGUUGGGAAGAUCCCCUGGAGAAGGAAAUGGCAAUCCACUCCAGCACUCUUGCCUGGAAAAUCCCAUGGACGGAGGAGCUUGAUAAGCUACAGUCCAUGGGGUUGCAAAGAGUCGGACACAACUGAGCAACUUCACUUUACUUCACUUCUAGAUAUUACGAUUCUUCUUCAAAUAGGAUUCUUUUUCAUAUAUUUAAUAUGGUAUUUAAAAGUUGUCAGUAGAGAAAACAUGCUAAAGUCUGAAUACAAGAAAAUAGUUCACAGUAAAGAACAAUUAUAUACUGAGUAUAAUUUGAAAAAUAUUUGAAUAUUAAACUUGUCUUCAUUAAUAUCAGUUACAGGUCCCAAGGAAUAUGUCAUGAUCUCUUCAUUAUUCUACUUUAAACUCACAAUAUUAUCUCCAGGGGAAUUUUAAAAACAUUUUAUCAGGAAGCUUGCUUCUAAGUUGUUUGGUCAGGUCUGUCUUUCGUAAAGUUAACAGUUUCUAAAUAUUUCCAGAUUUGGCUGUCUGAUACCAGAACAAUUACAAAAUAUUUUCGGUAAUACUAUGUCAACAAGGUCUUUGGUAUUAUUAAAACAGGCAUCUAUUAACUGCUUUAAAAUGCUGAAGAUACUAAAAAUAGUUCAAAUUAACUCAAUUAAAACUAAGGACCUAUUCAUACAGUACUAUUUUAUACAUAAUAUUUAUUGAAGACUUACUAUGUUCCAAGCACCUUUCUUUCAGGGCCAUUCAUGUAUUAUUUCAUUUAAUCCUCAAAAUAAUCCAGGGUAAAAAUUAUAAUUUUAUGUCCAUUUUAUAGACAAGGAAACUGAGGCAUAGGCAGGGUAUGUAACUUGUUUCAAGGCACGUAGUUGAUAAGUAGAAGAUGUGGUAUAAAAUCCCAGGUAGCUUGAUGCUGUGCUCUUUGCCCUUGUACUUUAUUAUAUUGCCUCAUAUUAGUUAAUGUUCAUUCAAAAACUGUAUUAAGAUAUGAGACUGCAACCAGUGUAAGAUUCCUUGACAGGAAAAGCAAAGAUGUUUCUGUAAAUCAAUGUUCAUAGCAUCAUCCUCUGUCCCCCAUCACUCACCUUGGCGCUUGGUAGCAGAGUGAGGAAUACACCGUGUCUCCAUGAGCAGAGCUUCAUGGCACCCAGUUCGCAUGUGGGAUCGCUAAAUUCCAAGGCACAGAAGUAACAAUUCCAUAGAAAAUAGGCACCUUUAUAAUUUCUUACAUAUUAGUGAAAUUUCUACAUUUUCAAGAGCAGAUGAUACAUUUAAUUAAAAUAUUGACCUUGAUAUCAAGGAUAGUAUUACAUGCUGAAAUUACAUAUUAAAAUAGAUUGUGGGGGGCUUUUUUUGGGAGGGAAUAUUUAUUGCAACUUCACUUUUUGAUUAAAAUAGAAAAGAAAUCCUCCGAAAAUUACUUUGAUAAAACGGACUUCAAGUUAAAAUCCACAUGAAUCAUGUUGGGUUUUUCAGGAAGAAUCUUGUUUUGGCCUAAAUGAUACCCGAGAUCAACUUAGACCUUCCUACAUUUUUAACGUGAUGGAAGUGCAGUGGUCUCUCAGCUGGUGUCAGAGAGGAAGUACUUUCAGGAAGACUUUGUCUACCAGAGUUAGACCCAGGGAGCAUGGUAGCCUGAAGUCUCCUUGUCUCCUCGGUCUGCUCUUGGUUCUUUAUCACCAGAAAGGCUAGAAAGCAGAAAAAGUGAAAGUUUCUUCUGAACAGAUUCUUUUCAUUACAGACUUCAGAAAUGUCGGAAAGCUAGCAUAGGGCAAUUCGUAUCCCGAAUUCUUUUUUGCUGUAAUAACACGCAGCAACUAAAAUCUUAACAUUUUUGUCAGAUGUGAAAAAACAUACAAUCUUAUUGUUUCUCACAUUUGGUGUUUUUCGGGGGUGGAGGAAUCAAUUAUUUUGUCUUUAGAAGCUGUAAAAUAAAAUUCCAAUAAAAUCCAUGUUACACAUCUAUGCAAACCAAUAAAAAGAGAAUAUUUGCAUGUGUCCUAUUAAUCAAAACCAGUUUCCCGCAAUUCUAAAGACAUAUUCUUCAAGGAGUUUUGCUUAAUCUUCCCUAUCCAAGUUAAAUGGUCAUACUUGGGAAUAUAUGUUUUGUACAUAUAUGCACACAUACAACAGAAAAUAGUUGGGUUUUAACUAUCAGAUAUUUUAGAGGUCAGCAA